rnacentral:rRNA from 1 species
GCACUCUAGUGGGACUGCCGGUGACAAACCGGAGGAAGGUGGGGACGACGUCAAGUCCUCAUGGCCCUUAUGGGUAGGGCUACACACGUCAUACAAUGGCGCAUACAGAGGGUUGCCAACCCGCGAGGGGGAGCCAAUCCCAGAAAGUACGUGGUAGUCCGGAUUGCAGUCUGCAACUCGACUGCAUGAAGUCGAAUCGC